GAUGGUAGAGCUCAGUGGUAGAGCACAUGCUUAGCAUGCAGGAGGUCCUGGGGAUCCCCAGUGCCUCCA
rnacentral:tRNA from 1 species